rnacentral:rRNA from 1 species
GUCGCAAGACCAAAGUGGGGGACCUUCGGGCCUCAUGCCAUCAGAUGUGCCCAGAUGGGAUUAGCUAGUAGGUGGGGUAACGGCUCACCUAGGCGACGAUCCCUAGCUGGUCUGAGAGGAUGACCAGCCACACUGGAACUGAGACACGGUCCAGACUCCUACGGGAGGCAGCAGUGGGGAAUAUUGCACAAUGGGCGCAAGCCUGAUGCAGCCAUGCCGCGUGUGUGAAGAAGGCCUUCGGGUUGUAAAGCACUUUCAGCGGGGAGGAAGGCGA